rnacentral:rRNA from 1 species
AGAGUUUGAUCAUGGCUCAGGACGAACGCUGGCGGCGUGCUUAACACAUGCAAGUCGAACGGUAAGGCCCUUCGGGGUACACGAGUGGCGAACGGGUGAGUAACACGUGGGUAAUCUGCCCUGCACAUCGGGAUAAGCCUGGGAAACUGGGUCUAAUACCGAAUAGGACCACAGGACACAUGUCCUGUGGUGGAAAGCUUUUGCGGUGUGGGAUGGGCCCGCGGCCUAUCAGCUUGUUGGUGGGGUGAUGGCCUACCAAGGCGACGACGGGUAGCCGGCCUGAGAGGGUGUCCGGCCACACUGGGACUGAGAUACGGCCCAGACUCCUACGGGAGGCAGCAAUGGGGAAUAUUGCACAAUGGGCGAAAGCCUGAUGCAGCGACGCCGCGUGGGGGAUGACGGUCUUCGGGUUGUAAACCUCUUUCACCAUCGACGAAGCUCCAGGAUUUUUCUUGGGGUGACGGUAGGUACAGAAGAAGCACCGGCCAACUACGUGCCAGCAGCCGCGGUAAUACGUAGGGUCCGAGCGUUGUCCGGAAUUACUGGGCGUAAAGAGCUCGUAGGUGGUUUGUCACGUUGUCCGUGAAAACUCACAGCUUAACUGUGGGCGUGCGGGCGAUACGGGCAGACUAGAGUACUGCAGGGGAGACUGGAAUUCCUGGUGUAGCGGUGGAAUGCGCAGAUAUCAGGAGGAACACCGGUGGCGAAGGCGGGUCUCUGGGCAGUAACUGACGCUGAGGAGCGAAAGCGUGGGUAGCGAACAGGAUUAGAUACCCUGGUAGUCCAA